rnacentral:sRNA from 1 species
GUGGGGUGCUGCCUGCCCUCCUCACAUCUUGGUGUCUGCCUCUCCCAAAGCUGAAUGCUGGGUAGUAGAAGAUGGCAUUCCCUGAGAGUAAAGACCAUUAUUUCAUAAAAGGAAUACAAGUAGCAAUCCUUCCUCCAAAUAAGCUUGCAGGAAUCAAUAAGUGAAGAACGUUUCUAAGAGCAAAGAGAAAUAUAGUAUUUUCAUCCAGCUAGUUACU